AGGAUAAACGCUGGCGGCGUGCCUAACACAUGCAAGUCGAACGCGCUUGCUAUCCGCGAGGAGGGUGAGCGAGUGGCGGACGGGUGAGGAACACGUGGGUGACCUACCUUUCAGUGAGGGAUACCGGCGAGAAAUUGCCGACAAGACCGCAUACGCUUCUCUUUUCAAGGGGAGAAGGAAAGCUUUUCGCAAGAGAGGCGCUGGGAGAUGGGCCUGCGGCCGAUUAGCUAGCUGGUGGGGUAAUGGCCUACCAGGGCGACGAUCGGUAGCUGGUCUGAGAGGACGAUCAGCCACACUGGGAUUGAGAACGGCCCAGACUCCUACGGGGGGCAGCAGUGAGGAAUUUUCGGCAAUGGGGGCAACCCUGACCGAGCAACGCCGCGUGCAGGACGACGGCCUUCGGGUUGUAAACUGCUUUUCUCUGGGACGAGCAAGGACGGUACCAGAGGAAGAGCCCGGCUAACUACGUCGCCAGCAGCCGCGGU
rnacentral:rRNA from 1 species